UCCUUCCUCCAUCUCUUGAUUUCCCAAGCCCCACAGUUUUUUCUCUUCCUCCCUCCCCAAGGUCCUGGCUCUGUUUGAAGAGGCAGCAUGAUGUUGCUGGAGGAAGUUCUUGUUCUGUGUAUUCCAAACACUUUCCCAUGGGAUUACUCAACUGUUCUCAGAGCAGAGCUCCAGCAGGUUAUAUCUUAAUUUGAGUUCUCUCGGAAGCAGACCCCAAGACAAAGAUUUGGGUGCAAAAAGUUUUCUGUGGGAAGUGGCCAGGAAACAUGGUUAGAGUGGGAAAGUGGGAUGUGGA
rnacentral:lncRNA from 1 species